GACAGAGGGGGGCAAGCGUUGCUCGGAAUCACUGGGCGUAAAGGGCGCGUAGGCGGGAUGGCAAGUCGGUCGUGAAAUCUCUCGGCUCAACCGAGAAACGUCGGCCGAUACUGCCGUUCUUGAGGGAUGCAGAGGAGACUGGAAUUCCCGGUGUAGCGGUGAAAAUGUGUAGAGAUCGGGAGGAACACCGGUGGCGAAGGCGGGUCUCUGGGCAUUUCCUGACGCUGAGGCGCGAAAGCGUGGGGAGCAAACGGG
rnacentral:rRNA from 1 species